GGUUCCAGCAGAGAGGAAGGAAGGCUUCCUUCCAGCUAAAGGCUCUCAACUCAAAAGGAAAAAAAAUAUUAACAUGAAAGGUGUUUCUCAGAGGUGGGUCCAAAGCUAGUUCUGGUUCUAGCAGCCUCAGGCUAGGUCUAGCUUUGAGGACACUUAGACCCAGAGUGACUAAAAAGAAUUAACUGCAUCCUCCCAUGAGCUGUGGCCAGAAGAACUACUCAUCUGUUCUUAUGUGGAAGAUCAUUUAGUUAUGAGACCUGUGGUUUGCCUCAUUCUCCACCUCUGGAAGCCGACCAAAGCUAACCCAUCUGGGACUUCCAUCCUAGACAAUGAGGAACAGUUCAGCGAGGCCUAGGAAAUAAGCUACUCUUGGAAACGAAGCCCAAAGGUAAACAACCGAGAAGCUCACCAACCAGUUGGAGAAGUUCCACUUCCUCUGCAGAAUGUGGGUUUGGGAAUAAUAAUGCUCUGCUUCAUAAGCUGCAUUCCAUCUCGAGAGCCCAGUGACUGUAACCAUUCAUCUCCACAGACAAUUAGCCUCUUAAAGUCCUUUCCAAGCUGGGGAGCCUCUCAUGUCUGCCCCACACCAGCUCUGAGGGGGAUUUUGGGUGAUGCUAUGCAACAGAGAAGUGGGUCCCAAGAUGUGAAAACGUCAUCAGGCCCAUCAUUUGAGAAACCAGAGUGCUUAUUUCCUAAAGUGCUCAGUCACUCUUAGCCACUGAUUGCCUCCUCUGAGAUUGGGCCCAAUGUGAAUUUGAGUGAGUCACCUCUUGAGGCAGGGCAGACACAGGAGAGAACAGCAGGACUUUUUACUAAUCUCAGAUUUACUGAUUUACUGGCUAAAUGAAUUUGGCAGCUGGUGGGUGUACCUUGUACCUCAUCAUUUUAUAAUUUUUUUAAAAAGAAGUCGUCUUGGGAAAUAAGACUUGAGUUGUUUUGGUAGAAGAUCAAUAGUUGUGGCUCAUCUCAAAAUUUUCUCAGCAUGAAUACAAGGGUUGUUCUUUCUCUAUACUAGAUGUUACAGAUUCUUUCAGUGCUUAGUGCCUGGGCACAAUUCCCACUUUCCCUCAGUUUCCAGCUCCCAGUGGAGUUAUGGAGUGCAGAAGGAGAUGAAAAGGCAGCAUUUGGGAGAGCUACCCACCCAGCAUGAACCCAACCCGAUUCCAGAUGACUUGGCUCCAUUCUGAAUAGGGCUUUCUUAUUGUUUUUCUUUUUUCUUUUGAGAUUGUUUUUCAUUAGCUAUUGUUUCCCUAAGUGGAUGAAAACUAAAAACUAUGGGUAUUACAUUUUAAUUGGAGCCAGUACUGUUCUAACAAUUCGGAAUGUAACUGUUUUGUGUGUUGUUUUUCUUGAGAAGUCAACUUGCUGGCAUGAAAAUAAUAUUUGCUCAAAUUUUCAAAUGUUGGUGCCGGAAGGUAGGGAAAGCCAUUUCUGUCCAAAAUAAAAUAUUUUUAAAAAU